GUGGAGGGGUGUGAUGGAAGGGUGUGGAGGGGUGGGAUGGAGGUGUGAUGGAGGAGUGUGAUAGACGGGUGUGAAGGGGUGUGAUGGAGGGGUGUGGAAGGGUGUGAUGGAGGGAUGUGAUGGAGGGGUGUGAUGCAGGGGUGUGAUCAAGGGUUGUGAUGGAGGGGUGUGAUGGAAGGUUGUGAUGGAGGGGUGUGACAGAGGGGUGUGGAGGGGUGUGGCAGGGUGUGAUGGAGAAGUAUGAUGGAGAGGUGUGAUGGAGGGGUGUGAUGGAGGGGUGCAAUGGAGACACGUGAUGGAGGGGUGUGAUCGAGGGUUGUGAUGGAGGGGUGUGAUGGAAGGUUGUGAUGGAGUGCGGAGGGGUGUGGCAGGGUGUGAUGGAGUGUGGAGGGGUGUGGCAGGGUGUGAUGAAGAGGUAUGAUGGAGAGGUGUGAUGGAGGGGAGUCAUGGAGGGGUGUAAAGGAGGGGUGUGAUGGAGGGGUGUGAUGGAGGAGUGUGAUGGAGGGGUGUGGAGGGGUGUGGUGGAGAGGUAUGAUGCAGAGGUGUGAUGGAGGGGUGUGAUGGAGGAAUGUGGAGGGUUGUGAUGGAGGGGUGUGACGGAGGGGUGUGAUGGAGAGGUGUGAUGGAGGGGUGUGAUGGUCACUUCCACAAUUGCCAGGAUGAAACAGAAAACUGCGCCACUAGAGCUUCCAGGCCAGGUACCUGGAAAAUGGUUGAUAGUUAUUUUUAUUCUAGGCAAAACAAGUCUCCAACUCAACAAAGUCAGUUAGUAAGGCAGGUGGACAUCAGAGCCAAAGCAAUGAGCCACUGGGCCACCCUGCACAUCCCUGAGGGUAGAGAAGCUCCUGGGCCUCAAUGCAACACUUAAGGGAGUGAGAGGCUGAAUGGACAAUGUCCAGCCCAGAUGUAAAAACAGAAUUCCACGACCUGCAGCAUCCAGCACACAAAACCCAUCAUCAUCCACAGUCACCAGCCCAGAAAGCCCACCCAUCAUCCACAGUCACCAGCCGGGAAGCCCACCAAUCAUCCACAGUCAGUAGGCCAGGAAGCCCACCCAUCUUACAAAGUCGCUAGCCUGGGAAGUUAUCUUCCCAUUAUCUGGGUGGGCACCAUCUAAUCAGCUCCCAGAGAGGCUAGAAUAAAGCAAGCAGAAGAAAGUGGAAUGAGCAGACUUGCUGAGUCUUCCAGCCUUCAUCUUUCUCCCGUGGUGGAUGCUUCCUGCCCCUGAACAUCAGACUCCAAGUUCUUCAGCUUUUGGACUCUUGGACUUACAUCAGUGGUUUGCCAGGGGGUCUCGGGCCUUCAGCCACAGACUGAAGGCUGUACUGUUGGCUUCCCUACUUUUGAGGUUUUGGGACUUGGACUGGCUUCCUUGCUUCUCAGCUUGCAGGCAGACUAUUGUGGGACUUCACCUUGUGAUCGUGUGAGUCAAUACUCCUUAAUAAACUCCGCUUCAUAUAUAUAUAUAUUUAUUUAUCCUAUUAG
rnacentral:lncRNA from 1 species